AGCUUGGUUUGACAAGACACAAAUGUUUCAGCGACUGGUGAGAAAAUUGCAUUGACUCUAGCAACCCAUAUACAAAUGCUUGCAAUUGCAUCUGUCUAAGUCGGCCCCCCCCCCCAGGUCGAACGCAUCCAACAAAAGGUGGUCCAGAAUGUGCAGUUUGCAGAGGUCAUAUUCAACAUUAUGAUGGCGCCUAACCGUAUUAUUCGUCCCUUGCUUAGUUGGUGCCCUCAAGAAAAAUGUACUCAGCGCUAAGGAAUUGGAUAUGAAAAAUAUGGAAUAAAAUAUGUCAGAAAUAAAAUUAUUAUCAUUGAACGGUUUUGCAAAGAA